rnacentral:tRNA from 1 species
CGGAGUGUAGCACAGUGGGUAAGGAAUUGGGCUUGUAACCGAAAGGUCGCAGGUUCGAUUCAGGCCACUGCCG